rnacentral:rRNA from 1 species
CUAACUCCGUGCCAGCAGCCGCGGUAAUACGAAGGGUGCUAGCGUUGUUCGGAAUCACUGGGCGUAAAGCGCGCGUAGGCGGCGUAGCAAGUCAGAGGUGAAAGCCUGGAGCUCAACUCCAGAAUUGCCUUUGAAACUGCUAUGCUAGAGUGUCGGAGGGGAUAGCGGAAUUGCUAAUGUAGAGGUGAAAUUCGUAGAUAUUAGCAGGAACACCGGUGGCGAAGGCGGCUAUCUGGACGACAACUGACGCUGAGGCGCGAAAGCGUGGGGAUCAAACAGGAUUAGAUACCCUGGUAGUCCACGCUGUAAACGAUGGGUGCUAGCUGUUCGGGGGUUCCCCCUGAGUAGCGCAGCUAACGCGUUAAGCACCCCGCCUGGGGAGUACGGUCGCAAGAUUAAAACUCAAAGAAAUUGACGGGGACCCGCACAAGCGGUGGAACAUGUGGUUUAAUUCGAGGCAACGCGAAGAACCUUACCAGCUUUUGAC